UGUCUAAAUUGAGCGAUCCUGGGCUCAUUCGAUUCGUCUCGUCUAGCCGCUUGAUAAACCCUAAAGCAGCCAGCAAAACCCCAAAUAACCAGCAAAAUACAAAAAGUCAACAAAUGAACAAAAGUAAUUACCCCCCGUCUCCUUCCCUUCGCCCUCUCGGGCGCUCCUGGCAGCGGAAGUGCAGCCAAUCUUGACUUGCUCAAUUUAUCCCGUCCUCGACUGCUACGUCGAUCUCAACCUCUUCCAUCAUAGCCUUCGACUCCUCCGAUCAAAUGAGGUCCCUCACGGCCUUUCCUCGUCCUUGUCCACCGCUUCCCGUUGUGAUAGCCACUUGCUGCUGCGCCCUACAACGCUACCAUGAUCGAGAGAGCUAAGGAAAUGAGUUUCCAUCAAUAAGAGGAGAGGCGUUGAAGGAGAAGUGGCGUCGGCAAAGUAGCGAUCAUGAUAUAACAAGAUUAAGUAGCGAAGUAAGCGUUCUGUGGCAUGUGGCUGGGAGUUUGAGGAGACCAAACUCCACAGCUGCAAUGGAAAAUUGUUUGGAGAUAUUUCUUUUUCUUAGAGCAUCUCCAAUCGAACUCCAAACGCUUGUAUGGCGUCGCUCACGAGCUCCAGCCGAACGAUAAAACUUCUACUAUUCGGUUGUGGGUGAACAGUGGGACGCCAAUAUUGGCGUUGCACUUGGCGAAAAAACGCGGCCAAGAAGAAAACGACCGUUACCUUGGCAAAAUGGAAUUUGGUUGGAGUUGAAUCACUGCAUUUUUUAAUUUCACAACAUUUUGGAGUGAAAAAUGAUAUUUUCGGUUGGAGAUGCCCUUAUUGAUGGAACUGGAUCAGCAAUGGGCCCGGCAUCUUCUGAGACAUCAGCGGCCUGUUCGGCCAUCUUCCUAUGCCCUAUUCUGCCAGUUGCCCACAAAAGCAAGAACUAAUAAUGGAGGGAUCUGUCACGUUAGAUUACUUUCACUCUGAAGUGGAUAAAUUUUAGA